CAGUAGCCGCGGUAAUACGUAGGGUGCAAGCGUUAAUCGGAAUUACUGGGCGUAAAGCGUGCGCAGGCGGUUCGUUAAGACAGAUGUGAAAUCCCCGGGCUUAACCUGGGAACUGCAUUUGUGACUGGCGGGCUAGAGUAUGGCAGAGGGGGGUAGAAUUCCACGUGUAGCAGCGAAAUGCGUAGAGAUGUGGAGGAAUACCGAUGGCGAAGGCAGCCUCCUGGGCCAAUACUGACGCUCAUGCACGAAAGCGUGGGGAGCAAACAGGAUUAGAUACCCGGGUAGUCCCUGUCUCUUAUAC
rnacentral:rRNA from 1 species